CCCCUCUCAGGGUCACACCUGGAGAGUUUCCAGUAUUCUAUCAGUCUCAACUACUGGAGGGAGAGUCAAACAGAGGCCUAUCCAUUUCAUUCCUAGCUUGGGCGGUGGCUAGCGAAUGGAAGGCAAUCUGCUACAAGU
rfam:Ornithorhynchus anatinus chromosome X1, whole genome shotgun sequence.